rnacentral:tRNA from 1 species
GCCCCCGUAGCUCAGUCGGUAGAGCAGUUGACUCUUAAUCAAUUGGUCGACGGUUCGAAUCCGCCCGGAGGCACCA